CCUACGUGUGGCAGCAGUAGAGAAUCAUGCUCAAUGGGGGAAACCCUGAAGCUGCAACGCCGCGUGGGGGAUUGAGGUUUUUGGAUUGUUAACUCCUUUUGUUAGAGAAGAUAAUGACAGUAUCUAACGAAUAAGCACCGGCUAACUCCGUGCCAGCAGCCGCGGUAAUACGGAGGGUGAAAGCGUUACUCGGAAUCACUGGGCGUAAAGAGCGCGUAGGCGGGAUCGGAAGUCAGAUGUGAAAGCCUAUGGCUUAACCAUAGAACUGCAGUUGAAACUGUUAUUCUAGAGUAUGGGAGAGGGAGGUGGAAUUCUUGGUGUAGGAGUAAAAUGCGUAGAGAUCAAGAGGAAUACUCAUGGCGAAGGCGAGCUGCUAGAACAUAACUGACGCUGAUGCGCGAAAGCGUGGGGAGCAAAAAGGAUUAGAUACCCUGGUAGUC
rnacentral:rRNA from 1 species